UAGGGUUCAUCGAUUUUUAUAUAAACAUCCAACAAUUUAUAGGUAAAGAAGAGAAGUGGAGAUAGUGAACUGCUCCUCAGUGCCUUUGGGAAGAGGGUGUACUUUUGGGGUUAAAGAAAUGGGACAUACUCAGAAAUUCUGGCACAUUUAUCCAGACUCUUGGGGUUAAAUCUAGGCAUGCUUUAUCAUAAACAGGUCACAGAACUAAAGGACU